ensembl:lncRNA
CCCUAAUCGGCUCUGCUGCAGCAGAGCAGUCUGCAGAAGAUGUUGAUGGAGCCUCAUAAUAUCACAAGCUGCUGAGCUCCUGAUGCUACCCCCCCUGCCACACCUCUGCUGGGACAGCCCAAGGACAUAGGGCCACUGACCUGGCUAGAGGAACCAGAGAAAAUGGUCACUGGGUGCCAGCCAGAAGGGUGGGGCAGACCCUGUGCAACCUAGGGUGCCCCCCAUUCUGUGUGGAGGAGUGCGGCCCCCAUUGAAAUCCCCUUAGCCUUUCAUCUCCUGGAUCCCCUGGUGUGCAGCUCAGGAUAGGUCCCUGGCUUUUAGCAAUGCUACAGCCAGAGGUCAGGCCCCAGGACUCCUCUCACCUUGGACAAGCUGUGUUUCUGGAAGAUCCUUCCUCUGAGCUGGCCUUCCUGGGCAUGAAAGGGACAUGGGUGUUCAGGUGGGAUCUGAGACCUGGAGUGUGUCCCACUGAAGCAAGCAGGUCAGGGCAGUGAGGAUGCUAGCAGAUCUGCCCAAAGCCCCAAGACCGAGGUCUGCUGGAUCCAGCCCACUGAUAAUUCAGUGAAGAGACACAAGCCCACCAGAGCCUGCCUGGGGAGCCUGAUGAGGACACAGUGAGACCAGACUCCAUGAGCCCUUUGUGACAGAGAGGCGCUGGCCAGAGACAAAGGGGUAGGCCACAGUGUCUUUUUCUCUCAUUGUGAGACCUGCCUUGGACCAUGCAGGUGACCCUCCAGGGACUCAAAUCCUGACCAGAAUCGUAGGCUCUGAACACAAACCCUUGUUAUAUCUGUCCCACACCCCAGGGGACAGGGAGCUCUGGGGAUGCUGAACCUCAUCCUACAAUCUCAGCAAAUGGACAGGUCCCCACCACGUUGGAGUGGCCCUCUCACCUAACCCUACCCUGACUAAGCCCUUCCCCUCUUCCCUUCAUGGAGACUUCUCUCCACCCAGGCCCUUAAAGCUCUUCCUGCCAAGACUAGGCAGCCCCAGCCCAGGACAUACAGUUCCAUGUGCCUUUGGGGCCACUGUGGAGUCAGCUAUAUGCCC